AGUGAACGCUGGCGGUAGGCCUAACACAUGCGAGUCGAACGGCAGCACAGGAGAGCUUGCUCUCUGGGUGGCGAGUGGCGGACGGGUGAGGAAUACAUCGGAAUCUACUCUGUCGUGGGGGAUAACGUAGGGAAACUUACGCUAAUACCGCAUACGACCUACGGGUGAAAGCAGGGGACCUUCGGGCCUUGCGCGAUUGAAUGAGCCGAUGGCGGAUUAGCUAGUUGGCGGGGUAAAGGCCCACCAAGGCGACGAUCCGUAGCUGGUCUGAGAGGAUGAUCAGCCAAACUGGAACUGAGACACGGUCCAGACUCCUACGGGAGGCAGCAGUGGGGAAUAUUGGACAAUGGGCGCAAGCCUGAUCCAGCCAUACCGCGUGGGUGAAGAAGGCCUUCGGGUUGUAAAGCCCUUUUGUUGGGAAAGAAAUCCAGCUGGCUAAUACCCGGUUGGGAUGACGGUACCCAAAGAAUAAGCACCGGCUAACUUCGUGCCAGCAGCCGCCGCAG
rnacentral:rRNA from 1 species